rnacentral:rRNA from 1 species
UACGUAGGUGGCAAGCGUUGUCCGGAUUUACUGGGCGUAAAGCGUGCGCAGGCGGUUGUGCAAGACAGAUGUGAAAUCCCCGGGCUUAACCUGGGAACUGCAUUUGUGACUGCACGGCUAGAGUGUGUCAGAGGGGGGUAGAAUUCCACGUGUAGCAGUGAAAUGCGUAGAUAUGUGGAGGAAUACCGAUGGCGAAGGCAGCCCCCCUGGGGAUAACACUGACGCUCAUGCACGAAAGCGUGGGGGAGCAAACAGG